rnacentral:rRNA from 1 species
UACGUAGGGGGCGAGCGUUGUCCGGAUUCAUUGGGCGUAAAGCGCGCGUAGGCGGCUCCGCAAGUCGGCCGUGAAAUCUCCGGGCUCAACUCGGAGGGGUCGGGCGAGACUGCGAGGCUCGAGGUGGGCAGAUGGCAGUGGAAUUCCGGGUGUAGUGGUGGAAUGCGUAGAGAUCCGGAGGAACACCAGUGGCGAAGGCGGCUGCCUGGGCCUGGCCUGACGCUGAGGCGCGAAAGCGUGGGGAGCAAUCCGG